AGAGUUUGAUCAUGGCUCAGAACGUACGCUGGCGGCACGCCUAACACAUGCAAGUCGAACGAAGUAGCAAUACUUAGUGGCAGACGGGUGAGUAACAUGUAGGUAUCUACCCUUUGGCCUGGAAUAACACGAGGAAACUUGUGCUAAUACCGGAUAAGUCUUUACAGAGAAAGCUUUAUGCACCAUUGGAUGAGCCUGCACUUGAUUAGUUUGUUGGUGGGGUAAUGGCCUACCAAGACUUUGAUCAAUAGCUGAUUUGAGAGGAUGAUCAGCCACAUUGGGACUGAGACACGGCCCAAACUCCUACGGGAGGCAGCAGUGGGGAAUCUUGCACAAUGGAGGAAACUCUGAUGCAGCGAUGCCGCGUGAGUGAAGAAGGCCUUUGGGUUGUAAAGCUCUUUCGUCGGGGAAGAAAAUGACUGUACCCGAAUAAGAAGGUCCGGCUAACUUCGUGCCAGCAGCCGCGGUAAUACGAAGGGACCUAGCGUAGUUCGGAAUUACUGGGCUUAAAGAGUUCGUAGGUGGUUGAAAAAGUUGGUGGUGAAAUCCCAGAGCUUAACUCUGGAACUGCCAUCAAAACUUUUCAGCUAGAGUUUGAUAGAGGAAAGCAGAAUUUCUAGUGUAGAGGUGAAAUUCGUAGAUAUUAGAAAGAAUACCAAUUGCGAAGGCAGCUUUCUGGAUCAUUACUGACACUGAGGAACGAAAGCAUGGGUAGCGAAGAGGAUUAGAUACCCUCGUAGUCCAUGCCGUAAACGAUGUGUGUUAGACGUUGGAAAUUUAUUUUCAGUGUCGCAGCGAAAGCGAUAAACACACCGCCUGGGGAGUACGACCGCAAGGUUAAAACUCAAAUGAAUUGACGGGGACCCGCACAAGUAGUGGAGCAUGUGGUUUAAUUCGAAGAUACGCGCAGAACCUUACCAACACUUGACAUGUUCGUCGCGACUUUAAGAGAUUAAAGUUUUCGGUUCGGCCGGACGAAACACAGGUGCUGCAUGGCUGUCGUCAGCUCGUGUCGUGAGAUGUUGGGUUAAGUCCCGCAACGAGCGCAACCCUCACUUUUAGUUGCCAUCAUUAAGUUGGGCACUCUGAAAGAACUGCCAGUGAUAAGCUGGAGGAAGGUGGGGAUGACG
rnacentral:rRNA from 1 species